AUAGAAUAGAAUAGAAUAGAAAACUUUUUAUUUGCAAGAAAGGUAUACAAGCAGGUAAGACAUAGAUUAAAACAGAGAGAAAUAAACAAGUGGACAAUUAACUGCUUGUGCCCCUCUGACAAAAAGGCACCCGCUCAGCGUACAUCAAGACCGCCAGGGCUUGUCUUGAAACUGAUUUUCAGCGGGGGCCCUCUGUUGUCACGGCGUACCCCUGCUGACGGAGAUGCAAGAGGAGAAAGGAGUCCACAAGUCCGGCAGCAGGGAGAACGCAGCAGGGGGGCGCAAAAGAAAAAGAGAAAACAAACAAAAAGAAAGAAACAAGAAAGCACCAUAAAAAUUAAUUAAUAAAAAUAAAUUCAUUUCACAUUAAUUAUAAAUUACAAUAAUAAUAAAUUAAAAUUAUAAUAAAUUACAAUAAAUUUAGAUUUUAAUUAUUAAUUACAUAAUUAAAACACAUUAAAAAAAAAAAUAAUAGAUUAAAAAUACAAAUAAAUUAUCAAAAAACACCAUUCUUUACUUAUCUAUUGCCAUUGAUAUGUGGCCAUAACCAUAAGGCCUCAAGUUAUUUAAAAUCAAUGGUAGAAAAGUGAUUGAGGAAAGAAAAAAAAAAAAAGAGAUUAAAAAAAAGAAAGAACUGUCACUUACUGUCAACGACCGACAUGUGCACGAGAUGUGAGAAUAAUUGCCACGUAAAUUGAUGAAAUGUGGUACAUUUAAAGGAUAUUUCAAGAAAGCAGUGCCAAAUAAUAAAACCAAAUUAAGAGCAAUCCGCAGCACUACAAUCACACGAAAGGGAAGGUGAAUAACAUCCAGCAUUGUAACCAAUUUCGUGCAACAACUACGGAUUACUAACAUACAAUAAUGCAAUGCAAUACUAUUAUACAAAUAAAUUAAAGAAAAUUGGACAGAAGAAUACACUGAGUACCAACAGCAAAAAAUAAAUAAAUAAAAUAAACCCAUGUCAGGAAACUAAACGGAGCCAAGUGGAUGAGGACUGCACACAAGGUGCUGGAGAAAGUUAGGUGAAGCUGGAGCUGGAAGUGGACCUGCUCCCAGGCGUGUCGUGCAUACAUUUAAGGGCACGCAGAGGCGGUGGCAGGUCAUUCCAACAUUUAGAAGCAGCAAACCUGAAGGAGCCUCUAAAAGCUGCAGUACGAUGUUUAGGGGUGUUAAAGAUAUGGGUGCAUUCUCUUCUGGGAUAUCGGCUGAGCUCACGUGCCCACUCCAGCUUCAAGAAAAGGUACUUUGGCUUGGCUUUACUCAGAACACCAAACAUCAUAGUAGCAAGAUGAAG